AUUGAACGCUGGCGGCAUGCCUUACACAUGCAAGUCAACGGUAACAGGUCUUCGGAUGCUGACGAGUGGCGAACGGGUGAGUAAUACAUCGGAACGUGCCUAGUAGUGGGGGAUAACUACUCGAAAGAGUGGCUAAUACCGCAUGAGAUCUACGGAUAAAAGCAGGGGAUCGCAAGACCUUGUGCUACUAGAGCGGCCGAUGGCAGAUUAGGUAGUUGGUGGGAUAAAAGCUUACCAAGCCGACGAUCUGUAGCUGGUCUGAGUUGACGAUCAGCCACACGGGGACUGAGACACGGCCCAGACUCCUACGGGAGGCAGCAGUGGGGAAUUUUGGACAAUGGGCGCAAGCCUGAUCCAGCAAUGCCGCGUGCAGGAUGAAGGCCUUCGGGUUGUAAACUGCUUUUGUACGGAACGAAAAGCCCUGGGUUAAUACCCUGGGGUCAUGACGGUACCGUAAGAAUAAGCACCGGCUAACUACGUGCCAGCCGCCGCGGUAACAC
rnacentral:rRNA from 1 species